AUGUCUGAUGUAUUUGCAAAGUUUCAUCUUUUCCAACAACAUGUUGAACGUCUCUUUGAUCACGAAAUCCUUGCCAUGCAAAAGGACUGGGGUGGUGAAUACCAAAAACUCCAUUCUUUCUUUGAUCGCAUGGGCAUCACUCAUCAUGUUUCCUGUCCACAUGCCCACCAACAGAAUGGCUCCGCUGAAAAAAAACAUAGCCACAUAGUGGAGGUGGGCCUCUCCCUCCUUGCGCAUGCCUACAUGCCAUUGAAGUUUUGGGACGAAGCGUUCCUCACAGCCGUCUAUCUCAUCAAUCAUGUUCCUAGCAGAGUCAUUAAUAACCAAACCCCUCUUGAACGUCUCUUUGGCACCAAACCAAACUACACAUUCCUUCGCAUUUUUGGUUGUGCAGUUUGGCCAAAUCUACAUCCUUUUAAUAAGCACAAGCUAGAGUUUCGUUCAAAACAGUGUGUUUUUCUGGGGUACAGUAGUCUUCAUAAGGGCUACAAGUGUUUGGAUGUUGCUACCGGACGUGUCUAUUUUUCUCGCGAUGUGGUUUUUGAUGAACAAGUGUUUCCUUUUGCCAAACUCCACCCCAACGCCGGCGCUCAACUUCGCAAAGAGCUUGUUCUUCUACCCGCCCAUCUCCUCCCAUCGCCAAACUUUAUCCCCGGGGGUGUAGUAGAUCCUGCUGACCAUGUGUCCAUGUCUCAUGACUCUAUUGAUCAAAACUCUGCUGAAAGUGUGCAGGAAUAUAAUGAAGCUUUUGGAGAAAACUCGUAUGAUUUUAUGUCAGGAUCCAAAACUACAGCACACGCCGCAGAAGAUCCGGACGGCGAUCCCGGAGCUGAUCUGGGCGGGAUCCCCUCGGGAUCAGCCUCGUCAGGCGCACCAGGCAGGCCAGGCGAAUCGCCUCUGGGAUCCGCGUCGGUGUCAGCCAGGCGGCCUGCACCUGUGGCUGGAUUUGGUGGGCCAGGCGCACAUGGCACCGGUCGGCCCUUGUCGCAUCCGCGGGUCACGUCUGUGUCGCGGCCAGGAGGGCCCUCUGCGCGCGGCUCCGGUCGGCUGCCGCCCAACCAGCCACUAGAGACCAACCCAGACGCGCCAAGUGGCCGCUUCGGGGAGGCGGGCGUCCUCAUCUGCUGA
rnacentral:rRNA from 1 species